rnacentral:rRNA from 1 species
AGUGAACGCUGGCGGUAGGCCUAACACAUACAAGUCGAACGGCAGCACAGGAGAGCUUGCUCUCUGGGUGGCGAGUGGCGGACGGGUGAGGAAUACAUCGGAAUCUACCUUUUCGAGGGGGAUAACGUAGGGAAACUUACGCUAAUACCGCAUACGACCUACGGGUGAAAGUGGGGGACCGCAAGGCCUCAUGCGAAUAGAUGAGCCGAUGUCCGAUUAGCUCGUUGGCGGGGUAAUGGCCCACCAAGUCGACGAUCGGUAGCUGGUCUGAGAGGAUGAUCAGCCACACUGGAACUGAGGCACGGUCCAGACUCCUACGGGAGGCAGCAGUGGGGAAUAUUGGACAAUGGGCGCAAGCCUGAUCCAGCCAUACCGCGUGGGUGAAGAAGGCCUUCGGGUUGUAAAGCCCUUUUGUUGGGAAAGAAAUCCUAUCGGUUAAUAACCGGUGGGGAUGACGGUACCCAAAGAAUAAGCACCGGCUAACUUCGUGCCAGCCGCCGCAGUAACAC